UUUUACAUUUUAAUAAUAGAUUUAAAAUUGAAAAUAUUUGUUAUCAGUUACAAAGAGUAUAAACUUAAUAGGUAGGGUAUUUUAAUACUUAAAAUUAUUUAAGUACUCACUAUUUAAUGUAUAAUAUUGUAUUAAUAUAUAAAUCCUUAAUUAAAAGUUUAAACGUUUUUCAUUGGGUAUUUAAUUUUUUAAUUUUUUUAUCACACAUUCGUAAUUAAUACUUUAGACUGAUUCCUAUUCUAUAAACCGAGAUGAGUUUCAGAAUCCAGGUCGCACCUUUUUUUUUUUUUCCAAAAAACCGUUAGAAUCAUAACAAUUCAGAAUACUUUUAUCUUAGAAUUUUGUAUUUUCGUGAACUAGCUAUCUGAUGAAUAAUUUUUCUAUUAUUUUAUUUUCUGACACAUCUAUUUUUUAACAAAAAUCAUUAUAAUAAUUUAUUCUGAUUAUUUUGAUUUACAAAAUUUGAGCCAUAUAACAUUUUGUCUUUUGAUAUUUAAUCUCUUCACAAAUUGUUUUACAUAAUAUUAUUUUCAAAUAAUUAUAUCUUAAUUUUUCUACUAUUAUUGUAGUAUACUCGUUUACUUUUAUUUAUACUGCAUAUACAAACAUACAUCUAUUCUAAAUCUACCUACUUUCUAGAUUAAACCUCCAUUAGUGCACAUUCAUUAACAUUUAUCACUAUGAGUUGAAUUGUAGUAAUAAUAGUUUAAUAAUCCAGUUUUAAACAUAAUAAAAUAAUUUUCUUUCUAAAUUUUUGAAGGCAAUUGGAACAAAUUGUUAUUUUCAUUGGGUUACUAAAUAUAAAUUUAGGCCUGUAUGCUGCAAAUCAUGCACGACACAAGUUGUCCAUAUGUCUAUCAUUUCAUGACCACAUUAGAAUCUAACUUAACUAUUAGGAACUGUUAUCAUUUUCAAAAUUUCCAGUAACAUAAAAUAUAUAUAUAUAUGUAUAAGUACUAUACACAAUAUACAUUAAUACAUUAUAUAAUAUACUUUGAUACAAAUUAUGUGAAUGGUACAUGUAGAAGAAUUACCCAAAACAAUUUUGUUCGUGAGAGAAGUUCAUCAAUUCUCAAACAAUAAUUUGGUAUUUUUACCCAAUUACCCUUGGAGAUAGUAUAUAAUCUGUGUAACAAAAACAGAACAAAUAAUAAAGAAUUGCAACUAUUCAAAUGUGAAUUCAAAAAUAUAAAACUUAACUUAUAUAUAACUUAAUUAUCCUAGUCAAGUGAUAAUAUAUAGAUUAUAGAUGAUUAUAGAUAAUAAUUAUGAUUAAUAUAUAUAUAUAUAUAUAUAUUUGUAUUAUUUAUUGAGUCUUGAGUGGCAAUUUAGUUUUAUUCAUUAUACCAUUUAAAUAGUUAAUAUUUCAGCUUUUUUUUAUUAUUAAUAAUUAUUAACCCGUUUAUUUUUUAGAUUGGUUUUUAUUUGCUUUUAUUAUUAUAACACAUUUAUACUGAACCAAACCGAUUAAUUUAAAAAUAUGUAUCAUAUAUAUGUAUAAAAACACUAAAUUAAAAUGUUAUAUUCUUAGUUUCUUUGAUAUUAAAUAAUUAGUUUAUUAAUUUGAUAAGUUAAAUUUCAUCAAGGCAAAUAUCCUCAAUAUAGAUUAUUCAUAAUAUUAUAAACAGGUAGGUAAUUUAGUUAAGACAGAGAUUAAGGAACAAUUAUUAACAUGGCUUGUACAAAUGUAUAAUAACAGAAAAAAAUUAAUAUUGUUCACUAUCAGUACUAUUUUGUAUUAUAUCAGCUUAAGUUACAUUAGUUCAACAUAGUAGUACAUCAGGUAUUUAUUAACUAACAAUAAUUAGCAUAUCAUUAUGUUAUUUUUAUAUUUACAAAUUAAAUAAAUUUUUGUUUUAAAAACGUAAGACUGUAAUUAUAAUUUAAUUAUUAUUAUAGGAGUACCUAAUUGGUUGUCCUGAAAGAGUUUUUGGACAUUAUUCAGUUCCUGACUCCAUUAAUAUCAUAUUGCUAUAUUAAAGCAGAUGAAACUUCAUACUACUACCAAAUGUAAUGUUGCCUUACCUUGUUUGAGUUAAGGGUAAUUAUCUAACCUAAACUUGUUGUCUUUAGUAGACUUACACUUAAACAUUAUUUCUCCUAAAACUUCUAACUUAGUGUUUAAUUUUUUUUGUUCAGUAACCUAAUAAACUAAUUUAAAAAUAUUUAUUAUAAAAACAAAACAAUUUAAAAUGUUAUAAUUCUUAUUUUCUACGAUAUGAAAUAAUUUCUUAAAUAAUAUUGAAAGAAAAAAAAAACAUGUACAAAUGUUGUAUUAUUAUUUAUUUUGAUUUAAGAUUUUAAAAUGUGAUUUAUUAUUUUGUUUCAAUUUUAUUAAAAAUAAUAAUUACUUUUUAUUUACUUUUUUAAAGAAGUUUUCCACAUUAAUUGUUUUUUAUAAUUUUAAUUUAGCGAUUACUUUGCAAAUAAGAUAGCUUUGUGUUAAUAGAAAUAUUAUUUCAGAUUGAGCUAAUAAAUGAGAAGACCAGCCAAUUCAUUUAAAGUAGAUCUUUACAUAAAGUAUUCAAAGAUACUAUAAAGAAGACAAGAAAAAUAAUGAAAUAGAAAAGGUACAAAUUUCUGAGUUUAAAAUAUUAUUAGUGCAGAAAAAAAAAACAGAUUUUAUGUUUUAGGGAAAUGGAUAUACAAUUUGCUUAAUAAUAAGAAAAAUGUUUAGUCAAAUGGUUGAAUUUAGCAACAAUUUUAUACAAUUGGGUUUGGCAGAUACCAAGGAGAAAAUUAAAAUAAACACACAAGUUAUAAGAUAAACAGCCUA
rnacentral:lncRNA from 1 species